UCCCGCCACCUCCCCGCUUUCUCAGCGGCGCGGCCCGCGAGCAGAAAAUUUCGGGAUUUGUGUGAAUUUCCCUUCCCCGAGGCACAAUGAGUUUGGUGUUUCUGUCGCUUUUCGGGAGGAAAUUUCAGGGACAAUGCCUGGACUGCUGAGGGAGAUCAGACUGUCAGGAGAAACUGGGCACUCUGCAGUCAGCCCUUCUCUCAUUUCCAGGAGAUUUUUGGAAUAAGAGCCAAAGUGUGACCAUCCUAUCUUCACCUCCAGCCCAAUCAUUCUCUCUUGGCAUCAAGAACACAUCUCCCAAUGUGCACAGGCAACAGGAGGUGCAGUGCAGGCAUGGGCAGUGAGCUACAGCCCUUGCCUUGGCCUUGGUUGUCAUCCCAUGCCUCUGUGCUGUUUGCAAGGACUUCUUUUACGAGAUCAAAUUUCAAUGUUUGAUGUA